rnacentral:misc_RNA from 1 species
GAUGAAGAACGUAGCGAAAUGCGAUAAGUAAUGUGAAUUGCAGAAUUCAGUGAGUCAUCGAAUCUUUGAACGCACAUUGCGCCCGCCAGUAUUCUGGCGGGCAUGCCUGUUCGAGCGUCAUUACAACCCUCAGGCCCCCGGGCCUGGCGUUGGGGAUCGGCGGAAGCCCCCUGCGGGCACAACGCCGUCCCCCAAAUACAGUGGCGGUCCCGCCGCAGCUUCCAUUGCGUAGUAGCUAACACCUCGCAACUGGAGAGCGGCGCGGCCACGCCGUAAAACACCCAACUUCUGAAUGUUGACCUCGAAUCAGGUAGGAAUACCCGCUGAACUUAAGAAUAUCAAUAAGCGGAGGA